UACGUAGGGUGCGAGCGUUGUCCGGAAUUACUGGGCGUAAAGAGCUCGUAGGUGGUUUGUCGCGUUGUCCGUGAAAACUCACAGCUCAACUGUGGGCGUGCGGGCGAUACGGGCAGACUGGAGUACUGCAGGGGAGACUGGAAUUCCUGGUGUAGCGGUGGAAUGCGCAGAUAUCGGGAGGAACACCGGUGGCGAAGGCGGCUCUCUGGGCCUGUCCUGACGCUCAGGCGCGAAAGCUAGGGGAGCAAACAGG
rnacentral:rRNA from 1 species